AGGAACUUAACUUUCACUCUGCAGGAACUUAUAGUGGAGGAUUGGAGAAGACUGAGAAGGAAAAAACAACACAGAGCAUCCUCUACUGUUCUAUACAUCCUACCUUUCUUCUCUAGGUUAACUCACUCACCCUCUCUCUCUCUCUCUCUCUCUCUCUCACUUUCACACUGUAUCCGUCUUUUCAUCACAUUUACAGGCGGUAACCAAGAAAACAUUUGGGUGCAACAAUUUCCGAUCUGCACUGGAGAACGGUCUCUCUCUCUCUCUCUCUCUCUCUCUCUCUCUGUCUCUAUAAAUAUAUCUUGCUGUCGCUCUUUCAAGCCUCCCAUUCAUUCAGGACCCUCUCUCCUAUCUCCAGACCUCUACUUCUUCCGACAACUUCAACGUCUUCCUUCCUGUGGGAAGCUCGGACUAAAGGAGGUACAGCUCUUUCACGCAGGAGACCUCCAAGACACAUCCACUAAAGCCACUGUCAAGUGCUGAUCACCAUAUACUGGCUGGGUAGGAAGGCACAAAGUGAAACGUUCUAUAAUAGACCUAACCUAAACCUCAAGGCCUUCGAACGACUACUGGGCAUAGCAGCAAUUUCCAAGGUAAAUAUAUAACCUUACUGUACAUACUGUACGCUGUGCUAGGCUAGGCUAGGUUAACACUUUAUUCUUCUAUAGUUAUUCACUCUAUUAUACUCUAUAUAACCCAUUCUUUUUUAUGUUUGCCCCUUUUAGUAAUUAUAUUUCUAUGUGUACGGUAUUAGUAGCCUGGUCCCAGAUUUGUUUGUACUGUCUUGCCAAAGUGUUUAACCACAGGAGUUUGCAUGACGAAGACAGGCUACGGUAUUAGCAGUAUUCAAAGUAAAGCUGCCUCACUGUACUUCAGUGGGCUAGUUAAGUUUGGGGUCCAUCAAUUGAUAGACAUUCCAUUUUAAUUUGGUAAAUUCAGGAAGUGAAUUGAAAUUGCAAUUCAAGAAUGGAAAGGUGUCUUUUAGUUUCAAUUUGGAUUUUUCAACACUUUAAUUGGAAUUUCCUUCAUGAAACUGAAUUGAAUUGGAAUGGAUCUCAACCCUGACGUACCUGUACAUUGUUAUUCAAACUACAGUUUUUGUGUUGUGUGUUACCAUGUAAUGGUUUGAGUAAUCAGCAUAGCUACAGUAGGAAACAAAUCGUAUGAAUGAAAUCCUCUUUUACACUCACAGCCCAUCACAUCUCUAAAUCCUUCCUGCUAUUUUAGCUAUGUGUUGAGGAAGCCAGCCCAUUGGCCGAGGGGCUUCAGGCUCAGAAUACUUGACAGUCUGUACUAAAACCAUAGCAAAGUUAAGUCAUAACUGAUCCAAUCUCCUGACGCAGCUAUUUUAAUCUUGUUUACUUCAGAAGCCCAUAGGUCACUUGGUACAUGCAUAAAAGUGUGUUUUGGUGUGUGUGUCUGUCUUUUCACAUGCGUGUUUGUACGUGUCGUGACGUUGUUGACUUUUACAGUUUGGUUUGUUUGUAGUUAGAUUUACCAAGCACAUUCAAGCCCUACGAUUACAUUCAAUACCAUGGGAUUUUAUACGAUUAAAAACAGGCAAAAGUGAUGAUUCGUUAAAGUGAUGGUUAGUUACAACAUGUUCCAUGCGUUUAUCUGUUCCAGUCUGAGCUCAGUGAAGCGAUGUUAAGCCAAGCUCAGUAGGGAAUAGCAUAGAAUAGCAUAGAAUAGCAUUGUUUAGCCCUGGAUUCAAAGUCAAUUAUUGAUC
rnacentral:lncRNA from 8 species